UGGGGAAUAUUGGACAAUGGGCGCAAGCCUGAUCCAGCCAUGCCGCGUGAGUGAUGAAGGCCCUAGGGCUGUAAAGCUCUUUCACCGGUGAAGAUAAUGACGGUAACCGGAGAAGAAGCCCCGGCUAACUUCGUGCCAGCAGCCGCGGUAAUACGAAGGGGGCUAGCGUUGUUCGGAUUUACUGGGCGUAAAGCGCACGUAGGCGGACUAUUAAGUCAGGGGUGAAAUCCCGGGGCUCAACCCCGGAACUGCCUUUGAUACUGGUAGUCUUGAGUUCGAGAGAGGUGAGUGGUAUUCCGAGUGUAGAGGUGAAAGUCGUAGAUAUUCGGGGGAACCCCAGUGGCAAAGGAGGCUCACUGGCUAGAUACUGACGCUGAGGUGCGAAAGCGUGGGGAGCAAACAGG
rnacentral:rRNA from 1 species